UACGGAGGGUGCAAGCGUUAUCCGGAAUGAUUGGGCGUAAAGAGCUCGUAGGCGGUCUGUCGCGUCUGCUGUGAAAACCGGAGGCUCAACCUCCGGCCUGCAGUGGGUACGGGCAGACUAGAGUGCGGUAGGGGAGAUUGGAAUUCCUGGUGUAGCGGUGGAAUGCGCAGAUAUCAGUAGGAACACCGAUGGCGAAGGCAGAUCUCUGGGCCGUAACUGACGCUGAGGAGCGAAAGCGUGGGGAGCGAACAGG
rnacentral:rRNA from 1 species